UACGUAGGGUGCAAGCGUUGUCCGGAAUUAUUGGGCGUAAAGAGCUCGUAGGCAGUCCGUCGCGUCUGCCGUGAAAACCCGGGGCUCAACCCCGGGCCUGCGGUGGAUACGGGCGGACUAGAGUCCGGUAGGGGAGACUGGAAUUCCUGGUGUAGCGGUGAAAUGCGCAGAUAUCAGGAGGAACACCGAUGGCGAAGGCAGGUCUCUGGGCCGGUACUGACGCUGAGGAGCGAAAGCGUGGGGAGCGAACAGG
rnacentral:rRNA from 1 species